rnacentral:rRNA from 1 species
AGAGUUUGAUCCUGGCUCAGAUUGAACGCUGGCGGCAUGCCUUACACAUGCAAGUCGAACGGUAACAGGUCUUCGGAUGCUGACGAGUGGCGAACGGGUGAGUAAUACAUCGGAACGUGCCCGAUCGUGGGGGAUAACGAGGCGAAAGCUUUGCUAAUACCGCAUACGAUCUACGGAUGAAAGCGGGGGAUCUUCGGACCUCGCGCGGACGGAGCGGCCGAUGGCAGAUUAGGUAGUUGGUGGGAUAAAAGCUUACCAAGCCGACGAUCUGUAGCUGGUCUGAGAGGAUGAUCAGCCACACUGGGACUGAGACACGGCCCAGACUCCUACGGGAGGCAGCAGUGGGGAAUUUUGGACAAUGGGCGAAAGCCUGAUCCAGCCAUGCCGCGUGCAGGAUGAAGGCCUUCGGGUUGUAAACUGCUUUUGUACGGAACGAAAAGCCUCUUU